rnacentral:rRNA from 1 species
UUUUCCUACGGGAGGCAGCAGUGGGGAAUAUUGCACAAUGGGGGAAACCCUGAUGCAGCGACGCCGCGUGAGUGAAGAAGUAUUUCGGUAUGUAAAGCUCUAUCAGCAGGGAAGAAAAUGACGGUACCUGACUAAGAAGCCCCGGCUAACUACGUGCCAGCAGCCGCGGUAAUACGUAGGGGGCAAGCGUUAUCCGGAUUUACUGGGUGUAAAGGGAGCGUAGGUGGCAUGGUAAGCCAGAAGUGAAAACCCAGGGCUCAACUCUGUGGAUUGCUUUUGGAACUAUCAAGCUAGAGUGCUGGAGG